GAAGGUCAGAAUUGUGGGUUUGUUCAGUGGGUUGAUGAGCAGUGGCCCCCAACAAUGGAGAAUGCAUUGCUGAAGCUUUGGUCAAUGGUUGAAGAGAGCAAGUCUGCUAGGGUGGAUGAUAAUCUUCAAAGUUCUUUAACUAUUCACCAUUUGACAGAAGAAAAUAAGAAGCUGGAUGCACAAUAUGACAAGUUAGUGAAAGAUGUGCAUCAACUUGUGGACUUUCAGCAGGAUAGGGUUGUGGAUUUCAGUUAUCUGCAGUCAGCUGUCACAUAUCAGCACCAAUGCAGAGCUGAAUUGGUGGCUGUUAUGAAUGCAAAAAUGGCAAAGAAAGAUGCAGCUCUAGAGAAGCUUCAACAGAAGUUUGAAAUCCUGUGCAACCUGACAAGUGCUCAAGCAACUGCCAUCCAAAACCUCAAGUUGAAGAAUAUGAAAGAGAAGCAAUUGAGGAUUGAGGCUCAAGAGAAUUUGGAGCUGAAGAAUGCAGAGUUCACAAAGUUUGAGGAGAAGCUCACCCAAGAGAAGCUAGAGUUGAAGUUCCAGGUUGCUGAUCUGCUGAAGCUUAAGGAAAACCAUAAAGAAGAGAAGCAGAUGCAAGAGUUUAAGAUUACUGAGCUCAUGAAGGCAGAGGAGAAGCUGAAGGAGAAGAUCAAGGGGAUCCAGGCCAUCUUGGAGAACUGA
rnacentral:rRNA from 1 species